rnacentral:misc_RNA from 1 species
UACGAGGGGAGCAAGCGUUAUUCGGAAUCACUGGGCGUAAAGGGCGCGUAGGCGGUUAAUUAAGUCAGUUGUCAAAUUUCUCGGCCCAACCGAGAAUCGGCGAUUGAUACUGGUUGACUAGUGCACAGAAGAGAGAAGUGGAAUUAUCGGAGUAGCGGUAAAAUGCGUAGAUCUCGAUAGGAACACCAAUUGCGAAGGCAGCUUCUUGGUCUGUUGCAGACGCUAAGGCGCGAAAGCGUGGGGAGCAAACAGG